ensembl:lncRNA
CGGAUGUUCAUCUUGCUCUGGUUGUUGAGGUGGCUGGCAGUGUUGGUGUUCCCCAUUCUGCGACUGUUGGUCAGCUGUAGAGAGGAGUGAUAGGAGCAGUUAGAGUAGGCCAGGGGUGUGUUCAACUUUCAACUUUAUAUCCUCAUGACAUGUUAAAUGUCAACAGAUGCUGUCGUUACACCCACUCAAAUGGCCUGUUUACUUAACGGUAGUGGAAUCCUCAAAAGUGACUGACCCUCAGCUGACUUGAUGUGGACCGUUGGACAAUAAUUCACUGACUAGCACAGGAAAGAUUCAACCAUGGGUCACGCUUUCCCUGUGUCUGAUGAGAGGAACAGUGAGAUGAAUUGAAAGGAAUUUCUUCCUCUCCUCUUCUCCAGGGGAAGGACUCCCUCCCUCCCGGUCAAGACAAAGGGAGGCCUGUCCUCCAUCUGAGAGUUAAAUGGCCUCCCACUGAGUCACUCCUCACCUCUCCUUUCCUUACUUGUCAUUAUCCUUAGAUUUCUACAAUUCGUUGCUCUGUCCUCUUCUCACCUUUGAAAGGACAAAAUGGGAGCAUGAUGACAUUUGAUGUUGACAGGAAAUGUCAAAAUAGAGAAUGUAAGAUGUUCUUUUGUUGAGGUCUUAUUAGAGAAUCUUAUUGUAACGUUCGUCGUCCUUGCCUGAGGAGGAGUAGGAGCGAUCAGACCAAUAUGCAGCGUGGUACGUCUCCAUGUUAAUAUUUAUUAAACAGAGAACACUAAACAAAAUAACAACGGCGAAUGAAACGAAACAGUUCUGUAAGGUGACAUACACUAAACAGAAAACAACUACGCACAAAUCAAGUGGGGAAAAACAGGCUACCUAAAUAUGGAUCUCAAUCAGAGACAAUGAUUGACAGCUGCCUCUGAUUGAGAACCAUACCAGGCCAAACACAAAACCCAAACUAGAACAACACAUAGAAUGCCCACCCCAACUCACGCCCUGACCAACCUAAACAAGAAACAUAACAAAGGAACUAAGGUCUGGACGUGACAGUUAUUUUGACAUCAUCAUGUCCUUCAAUCAUCUGGAACAGGACAAUAUCUGAUAUCUGUCAUCUAAUCUGUGCCAUCUGUUUAUUUCGAUUGUUUUCAUCAAUCUUUGGAAACCUCAGGUCACCUUCUUUGAACGUUUGAAAAAUAUAAUAUAUACAUUCACUUAAUUUAUGCUAAGAUACCUUCACCAUAUUUACCAUAUUUACCAUAUUUAUCAAUGAUUUAAGCUGUUGUAACUUCUUACCAUGCUAACAUCUUUUCUGUGCUAUUUCAGGGAUAUCACACUUACCUUGAUCUGUAGUAGUUUGAAGUGUGAGAGUUGCUGAGUUGUUGAAACGCUGAAGAACACUUAUGUAGGGAUGAUGCUGGUCAGACACUGAGGCUAUCAUUCUGACUUGGUCCAAAGUCCUCUGAUGGUAUGCAAAUAUCAUCACACCAAUGACACAGCACGUAUUAACUCAAGACAAUGACCAAAAACACACCUCCAGGCUGUGUAAGGGCUAUUUGACCAAGAAGGAGAGUGAUGGAGUGCUGCAUCAGAUGACCUGGCCUCCACAAUCACCCGACCUCAACCCAACUGAGAUGGUUUGGGAUGAGUGGGACCACAAGGAAAAGCAGCCAACAAGGACUCAGCGUAUGUGGGAACUCCUUCAAGACUGUUGGAAAAGCAUUCCAGGUGAAGCAGGUUGAGAGAUUGCAAAGAGUGCGCAAAGCUUUCAUCAAGGCAACGGGUGGCUACUUUGAAGAAUCUAAAAUUAAAUGAGUAAAAAUAUACUUAGUGUAAAGAAAUCCAUACUCUAUAGUUUCACUAAAAGUCUAUUCUAACUCUAUAGUUUCACUGAAAGUCUAUCCAUACUCUAUAGCUUUGUUAUAUAGGGAGUUUCUCAAUAUGCAUUUUACCGUGCUCACACUCUCAUGCUCCAAGUGCAUUCUCAGAGGACUUUCUCUUGAGUACCUUCUUGUGAGGAUGAGACUUUGGAGAACGCAUUAAACAUUACACCUGAGAAGCACUUGCACUACUCCUACUGUAGUACCUCACACUGCAUCUCCCCAUUCACUGAACCUUCUUCCAGCCAGGACAAUGGCAACAAUAGAGACGAAAGAAGAUAUACACAAAGCAAAUGUUUAACUUAAUAAUUAUCAACUAGAUAUUUGUGAAUCGUUGUAAUCUAGCUAGACAGCUAGCUAAUUAAACAGGCAAAAAUGGCCUAAAACCAAUGUUAUCCAAUGUAGAUAUAAAUUCUUUAUUGGUAGCUAGCUAAUAAUUCUUCAUGGCUAUCUGGCUAGCUAACAGUAGUAGCUAGCCAGUUAGCUCUAUUGACUUACUAUGGGCUUGUUACCUACGCACACUACAGUGGGUAUUGUAGGCAGGUAACCAUGCCAAAAUUAACACAGAAUGUAUUUAUUAAUGUAUCAAGAUAAAAUAUUGUAGUCAGGCAACAUAUGAGAUGUGAAUAGGCAACAUUUCAUUCCCGAAGGAGUGUAUUUUCUCUCGCUUCAGCUCAAGUAAUGGCCGCCGUUGAUUUCAAGAAAAUGUGGUUGCUUCAUAUUUAUUUUCAUACUUACCUUUGAAGCUUGCAUCGAUGCAUGCUUCAAAAUAUGUACAAACGGACUAUGCAUUCGAGAAACACCUUCCAUGCUCUGUUUCACAUACUUUUAUUUGGCCUCGUACUCCGACCCUCCCAUGCUUCAAUUUGCAUGCUCGGAGCACGGUAGAAUGCAUUUUGAGGCACACCCAUUGUGUGCAUAUUCAAAGUGAAAGGUAUAACAUUCAACAAAGAUAAGCUCUUGAUACCCUUCUCUGGAGCUUUUGGAUGCCUUGGAACACUUCCAUUUGGCACAAUGAGGCUGUGGUGGAUACCAGUGUCUUUGGUUGUCUUUGCCCUAUACCCGUCUGGCCAGGGGGGCUGGCCAACAGGCAACACCAGUUUAGGUUCUUGUAGGAGCCUUCUUCUCAACGGACAGGCCCCGGAUGGUUUGAAGCUGAUGAAAAGCAGAACGGACCACAUCUGCAAGUGCUACAGUAGGAGAUGUGUGUAUGUGGCUUUUCUGCACAGGCAAAGACACACUCCUCUCUACUGGGCUUACAGAAUCCUGGAUGACCACGUGCACAAUUUCUCACAACUGGAUCUACUGGAUAGGAUCGGUAGCUUGUACAUCCCAUCAUUGGUAUGCUCACGUUUCCCUUUAAUUGUUAAUUAUCCUUUGUCCUUUGGGUGGAAUAAUACAUCGAUUUUAUUAUUUUCAAAUCAUUUAGUUUUAGGUUGCUGUGAGAGGUUUCAUAUAGGCUUGUCAUUGGCUGCCCUCUGUGGCUUUAGUCAUCAUGUGCUUCAUAAUAAGGACAUUGAAAUGCCAUACAGAUCAAGUGAAACACAGUCAGGCAAUGAGCACUAGAAUUGCAAUGGCCUGGCUUUAUGAUGAGCCCAUGUUUGAUUUGUAUUAGCAUGUUAACAUGCAAC